AUAUAUAAUAACUCAAACGAAAUCGACCAUGAAACGUGAAAUCAACUUAGACAUAAUCUCUUCACUUAGAAUAUAAAUCAAGUUUUUUUAGCUGCUUAGAAAUAAACUUAGCAAGGCACAUAGUGGUGACUAUGGACUAUCAUCAUGUAGCUUGCUUUUAAAUCUUUCUGGAAUGGUGUUGUAGCUUGAUGUCCUUCUCCUUGUGGAGGAUAAAUUACUUGUAAAGGAGCACUUCCUAUACUACAUUGAUUUGUCUCAACUUUAAAUUACCUGCAGAAACAACAAUAUGGUAAGCAAAACAAUAAGUCAGUGGCUUGAUUUGUUCAGACAAAACAGUGAAGAAAUAGCCAAAUCAAGCAACAAACUAGCCAACUCAAAGCACAAAAACAGUGAAUAAAUACAAAUCAAGUAACAAAAAUAGCAUAUCUUGAAAUCCUAAAGCAAAAAACUUGCCAAAUCAAGAAAAAACAAACAACAAAUUAUGAAGGAGAAUGUGUGUGAAAGAGCAGAAGCAGCAUAGAAGGAGUGGACGGCAUAGACACAGUGAAGGAGAAGGUGUGGGAUGACAUGAUUGUGGUUCGAAGAAGGAGGAGGAGAAGCCUGCGAAGUGUGAGGUUUUUGUUUUUGUUAAGACACAUAUUACUUACAUUAGGCAGUAAGGAAACGAAUCUCCU
rnacentral:lncRNA from 1 species